rnacentral:rRNA from 1 species
CCUACGGUGGCAGCAGUGGGGAAUAUUGGACAAUGGGCGAAAGCCUGUUCCAGCCAUGCCGCGUGUGUGAAGAAGGCCUUCGGGUUGUAAAGCACUUUCAGUGGGGAAGAAAGCCUUGGGGCUAAUACCCUCGAGGAAGGACAUCACCCACAGAAGAAGCACCGGCUAACUCCGUGCCAGCAGCCGCGAUAAUACGGAGGGUGCGAGCGUUAAUCGGAAUUACUGGGCGUAAAGCGCGCGUAGGCGGUCUGAUAAGCCGGUUGUGAAAGCCCCGGGCUCAACCUGGGAACGGCAUCCGGAACUGUCAGGCUAGAGUGCAGGAGAGGAAGGUAGAAUUCCCGGUGUAGCAGUGAAAUGCGUAGAGAUCGGGAGGAAUACCAGUGGCGAAGGCGGCCUUCUGGACUGACACUGACGCUGAGGUGCGAAAGCGUGGGUAGCAAACAGGAUUAGAUACCCGAGUAGUC